rnacentral:rRNA from 1 species
GACGAACGCUGGCGGCGUGCUUAACACAUGCAAGUCGAACGGAAAGGCCCUGCUUUUGUGGGGUGCUCGAGUGGCGAACGGGUGAGUAACACGUGAGUAACCUGCCCUUGACUUUGGGAUAACUUCAGGAAACUGGGGCUAAUACCGGAUAGGAGCUCCUGCUGCAUGGUGGGGGUUGGAAAGUUUCGGCGGUUGGGGAUGGACUCGCGGCUUAUCAGCUUGUUGGUGGGGUAGUGGCUUACCAAGGCUUUGACGGGUAGCCGGCCUGAGAGGGUGACCGGCCACAUUGGGACUGAGAUACGGCCCAGACUCCUACGGGAGGCAGCAGUGGGGAAUAUUGCACAGUGGGCGGAAGCCUGAUGAAGCAACGCCGCGUGCGGGAUGACGGCCUUCGGGUUGUAAACCGCUUUCGCCUGUGACGAAGCGUGAGUGACGGUAAUGGGUAAAGAAGCACCGGCUAACUACGUG